ensembl:lncRNA
CACUUAAAAAGCAGGAAUUUCUCAAGGGUCCCUGGCUAAACAGUCUUCUUCCACUGUGCACUUCAUUGCUUUUGUUGGAACUGUGCCAGAUUACAUCAGUUGAGAAUCAGGCCCAGGCUUUACAGGGAGGAAAAGAGAAUCAAAAAUGGCAGUCCUGCUUAAGUGAAGUUAAAUAUGAAUUCAAGCUCUGAAACUGCAUACAAGAAAUUUCUUUCAUACCCUCUGGUAGCGAAUAAAAUUACCCAGUCCCGUUCUUUGCCUCUGCUCUGAUAUCUCCUUGCUCAGAGAUCUGAAGCGAGGAAGGACACAAACUCAGCCAUAACACCCUGGUUUGGAAGGCCAUAGAGAAGCACCAUCUCUUCAGAAGAGUAACUCCCAUUUUGCUGACCAAUGCCUUUUUCAACACAGGCCUUCCUAAAGUAUGUCUGUGGAAAGUCCUGCUGUGAAUUUAGAAACUCCUACAUUGGAGUUUUAGUUCUCAGCUGAUCGGGAAAAGUUGAAAUUUUUUUGUGUGAAAUCUAAUGUUUGAUAGAAAUGUGGAACUGUUAAAUUAUACCACAUGGAUAUAGCUCAGAGCAAAAAGCAGCAAAACCACUAAAUUCCUACAUAUAUGCUUUGUGCAAGUACAGAGGAUGCCUGUAUAAAACUAAUUAACUUGGCUUAAUAGCACAAGGUUAUUAAAAACACAGGCUCAUAAAUUAGGCUGCAUUCAUUGCCUUUCAAGACAGAAUUUGUGUGAAAAGAGCUUCCGUGGCUUACAAUUUCCUCUUAUGCAAUAGCUUCCACAUCUGUAAGGCUCAGAGAUGAGUAAGUGUUUCAAUUUGAGAGCAUUUUUCAGCAUCCUUCCUGAAGGACAGAAGCUUUCCUGAAUAGGCAGGUACAGGCAGGGACAUUAAUGUCAGCCUAUUUAUACACUGUUAAUCUGAUGUAAUGAGUGUUUCUGGAAUGCACUUGCACUCCCUCCACAUCAACACAAAGCAAAAUUAUUUGCUGUAUGUUUAGACAUUAAGUUCAAUCUUUUCUCGGAGAAGUAGAAAUUUUACUGCAGAAGAGCCACAGUUUAUGAAUCCAUGUACUCCAAAGUUACACCACAGUUGAUAUCAUGCUCUGUGCACACAUCAGCAAGGACUUAACUCAUUGGUACUGCCUUGCUAUCCUCCAUGAAGCUAUUUGCAUGGGAAAACUUGGAGAUAGGCUUAGGUAGAUCCAGGUCUACCUGUCCAAUUUCAUUAAUUCCAUGGUACUUUAUUAUUUAUUAUUUCAUAAAUUUCCAUGGUACUUACAUUGUAAGUAUAGCCAUGCCCCUUGACUGGGAUUAGCAGAGCAUAACUUUGUGAUAAGUGGUCCGGGUUGAACUAGACUUGCUGUUACAUUGGUCUUUAAGUACCAGUUACAUAUGCUGAUUACAAAACUCACUGUAGAUCCCAACAAUGUGUUUUCAUGUAUACAAUUAAGACACUAAGCAGAAAUUUGUGGGUUUGUAAUUUUCCUGUGGAGGCUAUGGUUAAAGGAAAUGUAAUCAGACAGAGGUUCAACAUGAUGGCAAACCAGAGCAUUUAACCUUUCUCUGUGAAUAGAUCCACAGGCCCAUCACUCCUCUGCAGGAAGACAGAAACAGAGACCCUACUCCCUGUGACACAGGUCAAAAUUGUCACAGAAAAGGAUGAGCAUGAGCUUUUCUCUCAUCCAUGUCUGGGCAACUGUCUAUGGCCUGAAAUGAUGAGGUCAGAUUAAAAAAAAAAAAUAAGAGCUAGCAGAGGGUUAGCACAAUUUCCCAAAACACUGUAUAUUUAUUUGUGUCUGAGAAUGAAUACACAAGGUUAACUUUAGUUCCUGUUUUUGAAAAUGUAGGCUUUAAUCUACAUAGACCAUCAUUUAUUCCCUGCCCUGCCCCCUCCAUUCCCUCCACUUUUUUAGCAGAUGGAAAUAUCAUUUUCCACAGCUAAUUUUUUCCAGGUGGAAUGUCUACAGACUAUAAAACUGAAUUUCUCACAAUCAUCCACAGACAGAAUUAAAACCAGAACUUUAAAUGAGUUAGAAUUUAAUAUCAGAAAAUUCCAUUUAGGUGAGUAGCAGGCAGUAGCAAGCCUGCAAGGGGGUGGCUUUGGUUUUUCAUUUUUCAUUACUGUUUUCAUUAGAAAAGUCUGUGAGAAAUUGGAUAAACAGUGGCCCCACUCUGGCUUUACACCUUUUGCAUAUGAAGUUAAGUAGUACAUAUAGCCCAGGGAAGAGGCUAAAGCACCAAAGCUCAGAUAUGUAUUCAAAAUUAUUUUCAAGCUUCAAUUGUGUUCCAAAGCAAAGUUGCUUAAACACAGCCCUGCAAUUCAUUCAGCCAGCUACAGACACUCGCAGAGUCACCAGAAGAUUACUCCUAAUGCAACUAAUCCAUCCCGUGGCAUGGAGUACAUCACAGAGAUUUAGUUACCACCGUCAGUGGGGAAACUAGAGAUCUGUGGCCAGAAAUGUCACACAGAUGGGCCUGUUUGAAAAUCCUCUGCAUCCUGGUCUUUCAAACCUUAAAAACAGAUGAAGUGAUUCUAGCAUGACCCCUGCUGUGAUAUAAUGGAUCCUGUCUGUGUGUGCAGUGUUUGUCAUGAUUUACCUCUUGCAGUUCCUGGCUCGUGUAACAGACAGCAAUUCUGAAAAUGAAUUACUAUUGAUUAGACAUCCUGCGCUAUUGAGUUCUAGGCAAUUUUAUUAAUUUAUUUAUUUGAAUAAAAGCUUUUAAUGACCCCACUAAUUCUAAAUGGCUCGAGCAAAACAGUAAUUCUUCUUCUUUUUCCCUCCUGUUUACAGAUGGCAGAUAUGUACUUAAAGGCCCUACCGACACUGCUUGUGGUUUGUCAUCACCCUUCCAUGCACAGAGCUACCUGUUCAAAAUUAAAACACAGGCAUCAGAAGCGGGGACAGGUGGCAGGGCAGUGCUGAGGGCCUUCUUGCCUUUCUCUGGCUCCCAGCCAUGGUGGCAGGUGGACAUGGGCUCCACUUCACAGAGCCAUCACUCCCUCAGCUGAACACAGCUGUGGUGGGCUGCAAACAUAGCUCUGUGACCACGCGGCUGGGCCAGAAACACAGCAAGGACCCUGAAUUGCCUUGCUCACCCUGCUAACCAAAACAUUGUUCUGUGGAGAAAAGGGGUGAGGCGCUGCUCCUUCAGCAACGGCGUGGUGCAGGAAGGAGUGAGGGGCCUCACGGGCAGCAUGGGGCUCAUAGCAGCCUCUGUUUCAAAGUUUAAAUCUCUCCAGUGCCUUGCUAGGCAAAUCUGCUUACCGUGGCAAUAAACAGUGAGGCAAGAUGUAACCCGGUGCUGGGCUGCACUCUGACAGAAACAAGUAAAAAUAAUGCUCACUGGAGUCAGGCUCUCUUUAAAGCCUAAGAGAGUUUUGCAGAGGUGUUUUGCAGUGCAUGCAUACUAAUAGCAUUUCAACAGGAAUUUUCACCGAAUGCCCUAAUGCGUGAGAAUAGCAUGCACAUCUGAAAAAUCAACAGCCCACUUCCCCCCACUGGAGGAAAUGGAUUAAGCAGUAUUUUCUGUAGUACAAUGGACCUGACUGAAGGAAUAACAUGGCUUUUGAUAUAUGAUAAUUGUAGGAGACUGACACAAAAAAUAGGCCAAAUAAAGUCCUCAAAGGUACGUAUAUAGAACAUUUUCAAGGCCUGGAAAUAGCUUGUAUACAGAACAUCCUCUUUUUAUUCAGCCAAAAGAAUGUGCUUACACUGCAUAAAGGACAAGGGGUGGGAGUUACAAGUUGCUUCCUGUGAUUAUUUCCAGCCGUAAUCAAUGCAGUACUGAGUUAUUGGUUCUGUAAAGAGCCUGCUCUAUGCUAGCUAUGGAAAAAUAAAAUCCAAAAAGAGGAAGAGAGAGAGAGAAAAAGAAGGAGGGGGGAAGAGAAGGAGCUCAAGAAGGACUGCACUAUUAGAAGCAGAAAAACAGGUUCCUAAAGGAUGAAUUUGAGCUCAGUGUAUUUCCCAGCCAGAGAGCCUUUUGCUACGGUGGGCCCUCUUAUCCUGCCAUCACGCUUCGCUGAGCCUGCUGUCCUGGGAUUGGGGAGAUGCUGAGCUGUAUUCAUUGUGACACAAAGUAAAAGCGGCAGGUUCCCAGCCUCAUGAGCAACAGCAACACUCCAGCAUUUAAUGGACUUAAACCUCUCCUGCAACCCACCUGUUUCUGGGUUGCAGGCUCUGAGCACACCCAUGUACUUUGCAAUUUUCAACCUGGGUGUAAGGAUGACAGAAAGGAGACAGAGGACAAAAGAGGUGGAAGACUGUGCCCAGGUGACCAACCAUUCUGAGAUGAGAGUCUGGGAGUGAAAUAGGAGAUUCUUGAAGUAUAGACAAUUUUGCUGAUAAUAUCAGUGAAUCUUAUUUGGAACUGCUGCUUCCUAUGCCCAAGUCAGCUAAUGUCUGAUGCAUGCAAGCGCACUCCUCUUCAGAUCAAGUUGUUUCUUAGAAGUGCUUUCAUUUUGAAAUGGGAAAGCAGCUGUCUUUUUUAAAAAAGUUAAAAUAUUAAUUUGUUUUCAAGCAUUUACACUGCUUGCUUAUUUUCCGCACUUCUCAUAGCUUUGGGAGAACUCUGUUUUACUCUUUUUAUCGAUUCUCUACAUGUUGUACUCUUCUGCCAGUGGGCUGGGAAGAGAACACUGUAUGGUACCAUUUGUAUUUUAAAAUAAAUUAAUAUUUGUCUUGGAAAAAUAAACUGUGGAGAA